GCUUUUGUAGUUUCGGAAAAACGAGCUUUUCAAGCCCUAGACCCAAGUUGGACCCUUGGUAAAAGC
rnacentral:tRNA from 1 species